AGAAUGACUCUCGGCAACGGAUAUCUAGGCUCUUGCAUCGAUGAAGAACGUAGCGAAAUGCGAUACUUGGUGUGAAUUGCAGAAUCCCGUGAACCAUCGAGUCUUUGAACGCAAGUUGCGCCUCAAGCCAUUAGGUUGAGGGCACGUCUGCCUGGGCGUCACAU
rnacentral:rRNA from 3 species